GCCAAACGCAAGCAAACUCGACAUGUUCGACUCCUCUGCCUCUCGUCGCCAAUUCGGCCUCCAACCCGCGCUUGCCUCGGCAAAGGCGGUGGCGACGAGGCUUGAGCCUGCCUCCGGUGGGGGGCGAUGGCCUCGCUGGCUUCAUCCCCAGCUCGGUCGUCGCUCGGCCGCUCGACAACGAGGACAGAUUCGCUCGGCUUUAUUAGAGCAGGGAAGAGGGCAUGAACCUGAAUUUGAAGGAGAAACGGUCGUAAGAAUGGCCAGUAAUAAAACGGAUCAUUGUGUUUGGAGUCUUUGUUGCUAUCCACUACAACAGGCAGGACUGCAGUUCCCCGUUAAACAUGUAGUAGUGUAUUUUUUUAAUGUAUGCAAGGAACAUACAAGCCUUCUUCAACUUACGCUGGCUGUUUGAUGUUGCAAAGUUGAUGCAGCAUAGUUGCUACCCCCCAGUCAUACAAGAUGCAUCUCCUUGAAACUAGUUGUAUGGUUAAAUAAGUUUAGCAUUGGCUUGUGAACUAGUUCUGUAAGAGGACCUAUAGAGUGCUGUUUAUAGUGCUUUUGUGGUCUUGUUAUCAUGAUAAAUUAUUUUGAGCAAUGUGCUUGUACCUUGAGGGCAAUAAUUAUAUUUGGCAAGAAUUAUAUGUUUA